CCCAGCCCGCAGAGCUGCUGUUCCGCCCCGGGGCAGAGACCGAAACAGCAGCUUCUGUGGGCGGAGAAUCCUUCCCCUGAGAAGCGGUAACCCGAGGGGAGGGAGAACUCUCGCUUCCGCUGGUCUCCUCUCCCGCAGAGCUUCCCCGGAUUGACUCUGCCUCGGUAGAUUCCCCUGCUGCCAGGGAGAGAAGAAGCGGAGCUCGCCAUGGGCUCCGAGAGUGGAGCUGCUCCGUGGCGCCUUCUCCUCGCCCUGGCUUUGCUCGUCUCCUGCUGCGAAGCCCAAGUGGUUCAGAGCCCCGAGUCGCUGGUCACUGGGGAAGGGAAGGUCUCCACCAUGUCCUGCUCCUUCACCAGCGCUUACCAAACCUUCCAGUGGUACCAGCAGCUGCCUGGGCAAGGGCCGACCCACCUGCUGACCGCGAGCUCUAAUCAGAAUGUCUCUGUGAGGCGGUUCAUAGGCGAGCACCUGGAAAGUGGGAAACGCAGCUCCCUGCACAUCACCGACUCCCAGCUGGGGGACUCAGGCAGCUACCUGUGUGCGGUGGGAGCACAGUGAUGCAGGCAGAGCUGGGCUCAGGGCAAAAACCCUCGUCCCCUGACAGGCAGGUUGGCGGAGGAGAUGCAGGGGCAGAUCCCCAGAUGGUUUAAAGCAGCUCAACUCCAUUAAAGCCAAGGGAACAGAUCCUCAGCUGUUAUAAAUGGGCACCGCUUUAGUGGAGUCAAUGGGCCAUAUCGCGAGGACACGGAGAUUGGAGCCCAGGUCUGCAGAUCCUGGGACAACUGUGUG